GGAUGGCAAAAAUGAUGAUUCAAUUACAUGUGUGAAGGAUACCAUUCCUGUUGAACACAUUUUAAAGCUUAUUGAUAUCCUGAUUUGCCAAGU
rfam:Beta vulgaris subsp. vulgaris chromosome 7, whole genome shotgun sequence.